rnacentral:lncRNA from 1 species
CCUCUCCCGAUCCUCGCGUAGCCGCGGCCAUCUCGCCGGUCCUUAGACCGGCCCAGGUCCGGCGUAGCCGGGAGGACCCGGGAAGGCAGGGUGGGGACCCCAGCGUCUGCGCGGCGGGCAGAAAGAGCCCUGGCCUUGGCACCGGUCUUGCCCCCUACCCGGGAGGACUUCGCCCAGGAGCUUGGGGAGAAAGUACUUUCCUUGGGGGCAGCGGGUUAGCCUCAGAGUGAGGCGUCAGCUGCGCCCGCAGUGAUGACUGCCUCUUUCCUUUCUUAUUUCCGAAAUGAAGUCUAGGGGAGUGGAAGCAUUUAUGGCGAGUUGACUUGGAGAAGUUCACUCCGCAGAGCCAUUGAGGACCACACUCCUGUUUCAGGGUAUGGCUGCUUGCCUGAAGCCGCCCAAAGAACAAUGAGAAGUCCAGGUCAGACUCAGAGCUGCCUCGUCCCGAGCCAGCUUCUGAGGAGAAGAGCGGUGCCCAAGACCUGCGAAUCCAUCACUACUGGGUAGUAGCCAUGAGGACGCCUGAGUUUCUCAUUGAAAAUAUGUCAAUAAAAAGGAAGGACCGUGUCCCAGUUUUUAAAAACUGGGGUUCCUUGCUUAAUUAGCGUAAUUACUAUAUUCAGUCCCUUUGGAGUCCACAGAAAGGAGGCAACUGUGGGGCUGGAAUGGCCACAGCAGUCCUUGCCUUGGGCCUGUUUGGACUAGUACCAUGGACACUGAAAUGAGGCCUACCUUGAAACCAGUGUUUUCAUGUGCUUUCAAUUCGUUUCUUAGUGAAAAACUAAAUUUCUUUCAUGGCUUUUGGCUUAACAGCUAA